CCCUCUUUCCCCCGCUUUUUUCGGAUUCACUGGGCGUAAAGGGUGCGUAGGCGGUCGGGUAAGUCUGAUGUGAAAUCUCACAGCUUAACUGUGAAACUACAUUGGAUACUAUUCGGCUUGAGAGUUGGAGGGGGGACUGGAAUUCUUGGUGUAGCAGUGAAAUGCGUAGAUAUCAAGAGGAACACCAGUGGCGAAGGCGAGUCCCUGGACAACUUCUGACGCUGAGGCACGAAAGCUAGGGGAGCAAACAGGA
rnacentral:rRNA from 1 species